UAAGUAGGGGGCAAGCGUUAUCCGGAAUUACUGGGCGUAAAGGGUGCGUAGGAGGUUUCUUCAGUCAGAAGUGAAAGGCUACGCCUCAACCGUAGUACGCUUUUGAAACUAAGAGACUUGAGUGCAGGAGAGGAGAGUAGAAUUUCUAGUGUAGCGGUGAAAUGCGUAGAUAUUAGGACGAAUACCAGUUGCGAAGGCGGCCCUCUGGACUGUAACUGACCCUGAGGCACGAAAGCGUGGGUAGCAAACAGG
rnacentral:rRNA from 1 species